rnacentral:rRNA from 1 species
CAAUAGCGUAUAUUAAAGUUGUUGCAGUUAGAACGCUCGUAGUCGGAUUUCGGGGCGUUCCGACCGGUCUGCCGAUGGGUAUGCACUGGCCGGAGUGUCCUUUUUGCCGGAGGCCGUGCCUACUCUUAACUGAGCGGGGGCGGGAGACGGCACUUUUACUUUGAAAAAAUCAGAGUGUUUCAAGCAGGCAGCUCGCUCUUGCAUGGAUUAGCAUGGGAUAAUGAAAUAGGACUUUGGUGCUAUUUUGUUGGUUUCGAACACCGAAGUAAUGAUGAGAAGGGACAGUCAGGGGCACUCGUAUUCCGCAGAGAGAGGUGAAAUUCUCAGACCCGCGGAAGACGAACCACUGCGAAAGCAUUUGCCAGGGAUGUUUUCACUGA